ACUAGUUCAGUAGGGAUUUGCUGCUUAUGUUAAGUCUCCUUUUGCUUAUAGAGCGGCUCGGGCAUCCCGAUGGUGCGUCAGGCCUGACAGUAUGGGGUAUAGGGAUGCCGCUUCUGGUCCCUGAAAGAGGGGAAGGAGGUGGGAGCUUACAUGAGGAAGAUUCAGGGGAUCCGUGGAAGCCUGGAAGUCGGUGACAGUCAGUCCUGCCUGGAAAAUUAUUUCAUCACUUGGAUGCUGAGAAAAGCCCUCGACGUAUGGGUGCUGCGAUGCUGCAUGCAUGGCUGUACCCUGCUGCAGGAGAGCUGAUUGGAAGCUAUUGCAGUGGCCUACUCUCAAGGAUCCCUCAACACAAUGACAGUACAGAGCAUGAGGGAGAGAGACUCCAAGAGGAGGAUCCAUGGAAACCUGUAUGGGGAGCUGGGAGCUGCUGGAGUACCCGAAAGGAAUUGCCCAAGGAGAAGUCAGGGUGGGGGAGGACGCUGAACUUCUGGCUGCCAUGCACUGAAUUGAGCACUGCUACUAAAUGUGCACAUCUCUGGUCAGCACUUUUCCCCUCAGAAAAAUGAGAGCGGAGCAGUUUCUUGAUUUAUUCAGGAACGUACGACAAAGCAGGCUGCCGCUCCGAGCUCUGAAAGCUUUGUUUGUGUGAGCUUUGCGGGGAAUGUCUGCGAGUGAGAAAUAGGCAGAAAUGUGUUGGCAGUUCUUCGCUUCUUAUUGUUAAGAAUUGUAUAGUCAAUGAAUGGUGUCUCACCCUUCUUCUGACUUUGCCUCAGUCUUCACGGUGCUGGUUUCUUAACUUAUUAUCUUGAAAGUUGCUAAUUGUGCCCCUUAGUUUUGCAGAAUUGGUCCAGGAAAUGCAGCCUCUUUCAAAUUCUCCUUGUGUUCUCCUCUGUCCUUGUCAGCUCAUCCUUCAGGCUUGCACUACUGUCUCUUUGAUUUAGAUGCAAUGCUAAGCCUAUCUAGUUAAGUCUGAGCUGGCACUUUGUGAAGGGAAGUAAAUACUUGCAGUCACCUGCAUCUACUGGAUCCAGUUUCCAUCUGUCUUGUGUGGAGGACCGUGAUGUUUUUACACCAUCACACCUCUAUUACAAGAUGCCCUUUUACACCUCUCUUUACAAACAGCUUGCGUGGUACUGUGACCAAAUUAAAUGGUGGUGCAAGCGGGUGCGGCUCUGCAACCAUAUGGAGCUACACUAGGCUGCACUUGCCCUGUGAUGUUUGCUGUUCAUUGCACUUCACUUGCAAUAUGGGAAAAUGCUCUUUGCAUUCAUAGUGGGACAGUGAGCUGUGAUACUCUCUUCCCUUUCUCUUCUGAUGAAACAAAUCUCUUUGAGGUAGACUGCUCACACUAAGCCAAAGCCUUCAGCAAAUCCUCUGCUACAUUACUGU
rnacentral:lncRNA from 1 species